CUCUGGUUUACCGGUCCGCCAUUACUUGGUAAAAAUAUCUUCCUUACUGGAGUUUAAUUGCUGUUGUCAACUCCAAUAUAAAUGAUUGUCCUUCCAUUUAGCUUCCAGGUCAGAUUGGGAACAAGCUUUUACGUUGUUUUGUGAAGACACGGAUCACAUUAAAGGAACUUUAUAAAACAU